CUUAACCUUUAUAGUAAUAAUUUAAUUUAGUAUUGAUUAAAAUGAUAAUAUAUCAAAUUCAAUAUAGCUACAAAUAACUGCAUAUUAUGUUGUAGCUAUAUAAUAAUUCAGAAAUUUAACACAAAAAUUUCCAUUCCCGCUUUGCCUUUUUCUCAUUUUCCCGGCUAAAGCAUUUCCGGGGCAAACAAAUUAUUUUCUGUUUGAAACGAAACCACAAAAUUUAUUUAAGUAUAGAAAUACAAAAAAUCUUUUUUACUUAUCUUCAAUUCUCCCUUUGUUUCUUCAGCCUCCUCUGUAUCUUUUCUCAAUCUUCUCUCUUCAACCUUCUAAUAUAGCUGUUGCUUCCUAAUUCGUGUUUAAGAUGAAUCUCCUAGGCGUCAAUCUUAAAAUCGCUUCUUUCAUGCCUCAGUUCCAUAGCUCACGAUCCGAUUGUAAUUUAUGCGCUUCUUGGGUUAGGUUCUGUCUCUGUUUCUGCAAACGACGAAGUUUUGUGUACUGCUUGAUAUCAAGGAGAAAACUUUGAAGAAGCUGUCUAAGCAGUAUGUGUGUUCCAGACUGUCUUUGUUUUCUAUUUGUUCUCACAUACUUACCAAACUCUUUGUUUCUAUCUUCGUGCAAGGACAUGAUAUAUGAAUCCAAGUAGCAGGGGUCACUUGUACAGUUCUCUGGCUCUAAGGAAAUUCAAAUGAUGCUGGAGAUUGCGGUGGCAUCCCUGUGUUUAAUACUUAUAAUGUCACUGCAUUUGAGAAGAUGGCCAAGGAGUUUGUGGAGAUGUUCAAACACGAAGUAAUGCUAUAGGGCGAUCUUAGGAGGAGCCAUACUUGUUCCUGAAGUCGCAAUGCAAGUAGCAAAGAAGAGACAUAAUUGAUUGAUAUCAGUGACGAGGAAGAAACAAGUCUCGAAGGAGAUUUAAGUUUCGGUAUAAGGAUGAGUGGUACGUAGGCAAAUCGAACCUCCGGUCAAGUUUGAUAUAGCCAAGAGACCAGGAGCAAAGAGAUACCGUGCACCAGUUUAGAUUUAGGUUUUUAUUAGGUUUUCAAAACCAGUUUAUUAUUUAUGAACCAGUUUUAAUUUGUAAACCAUAUUGAAAAUAUUAUUGGAAAUAAAAGAAAAUAAAAUAAUUGAUUUGGUUUUAGUA